rnacentral:rRNA from 2 species
GAGUUUGAUCCUGGCUCAGAUUGAACGCUGGCGGCAGGCCUAACACAUGCAAGUCGAGCGGAUGAGAGGAGCUUGCUCCUUGAUUCAGCGGCGGACGGGUGAGUAAUGCCUAGGAAUCUGCCUGAUAGUGGGGGACAACGUUUCGAAAGGAACGCUAAUACCGCAUACGUCCUACGGGAGAAAGCAGGGGACCUUCGGGCCUUGCGCGUAUCAGAUGAGCCUAGGUCGGAUUAGCUAGUAGGUGGGGUAAUGGCUCACCUAGGCGACGAUCCGUAACUGGUCUGAGAGGAUGAUCAGUCACACUGGAACUGAGACACGGUCCAGACUCCUACGGGAGGCAGCAGUGGGGAAUAUUGGACAAUGGGCGAAAGCCUGAUCCAGCCAUGCCGCGUGUGUGAAGAAGGUCUUCGGAUUGUAAAGCACUUUAAGUUGGGAGGAAGGGCUGCAAGUUAAUACCUUGUAGUUUUGACGUUACCAAC